rnacentral:lncRNA from 1 species
UCCUAAUGCUGCUACUAUAGUUGCUCGGAAUUAAAUUCAACUGAAAACUCGCAACAGCCAAUGAAGCUAUUCAUAUAGAGAUAAAAUAAAUUAUACAUGUAUAUUAUUAUCUCUAUGGUACUGCAACAACUGUUUAUUAUUUAUUAUGUUUGAUGACGUCAUGUCGAUUGUUGAUCCACAGCUGAAUUUCAACCCCAAAGAAUAUACAUAUCAAGGACGCUCUUUCAUCUGGACUGCUCUCUUUGAAUAAGAAAUGUACCCCAGUAUCGGAAGGUUGCCUAGAAAUUUAGCUUGUUUCUUUUAGUAUUGUAUUGAUAAAACAAUACUAACUACAAUGCGAGGUUAAUAGAAAUACAAUUCUAUUAACCUUGCUACAAUGCUUAGUUAUCUUGAUGUGGUGAUCGGAUCAUCGUUACUUCGAAGAAGAUGGGGUGGAAAUGUGUUCUCCUGGAUGCCGGCACUCCCAAGGUCCAUAGCAUCAGUUUUCCCAUAUUCCCAGGCUUCAAUGUGCCCCCUAAUCAAGAGCUCCAAUCAAAGUGGGAAAGAGCCAUUCCAAGAUCAAAAGUUAAUAAAAAAAGGCCAAGAGACAAUUUAGAAAAUAACUAAAAAUACAAGAAUCUGUAGCCUCCAUUUUAUAGAUGAUGAUUUCAUCACCAAGUUGGUCGACAAGCAACAUGUCCAUGGGCGCCAACUAAACAUAGAUCUAAAACAAAGGGGUUGAAAGAUGACACUCUUCCGUCAGUGUGGAUAAAUCUGCCGUCGUACCUCUCCUUACCCAGCACCCUAGAUCUACCAGAGCAGUAUCAAGCAGUCAAAGGCUCCAACUCUACUAUGAACAUCAAAAGACCAUUGGGGUUAAGAUAUUCAUAAAAGAAGAGGUUGAAACAGCUCAAGAGCUAUAUAAGAAGUUAUCUCAGGAGACAGUCCCCUCAGGAAGGGUUAUCUCCUCUUCAACAUAAAGUGAAUUAAUUAUAUUUACUAUGCAGUUUCAUAGGAUUUUUAUUCUUGAAUUCUUACUUAUUAUCGAAUUGAAGUAUCCCUUAUUUUAAUAGUUCCUAUUAAAUAAAUUUAUCUUUGUUAAUGAAAAAAA